ACUCUAUGAGUACAACAGUACCUUUGACUUCCAAUCAAAUAGCUCUUAGCGAAAAUCUAAGAUAGAGUA
rnacentral:tRNA from 2 species